rnacentral:rRNA from 1 species
UACGGAGGGUGCAAACGUUGCUCGGAAUCAUUGGGCGUAAAGCGCGUGUAGGCGGUUCGGUAAGUCUGCUGUGAAAGUCCAGGGCUCAACCCUGGGAUGCCGGUGGAUACUGUCGGACUAGAGUACGGAAGAGGCGAGUGGAAUUCCCGGUGUAGCGGUGAGAUGCGCAGAUAUCGGGAGGAACACCAAUUGCGAAGGCAGCUCGCUGGGACGUUACUGACGCUGAGACGCGAAAGCGUGGGGAGCAAACAGG